UGCCGGGUCGUUCAAUGGUAGGACACCAGACUUUGGAUCUGGGUAUUCUAGGUUCGACUCCUAGCCCGGCAGCCA
rnacentral:tRNA from 1 species